UCCGGGGUAGCUCAAUGGCAGAGCGAACGGCUGUUAACCGUUAGGUUGUGGGUUCGAGUCCCACCCCCGGAGCUA
rnacentral:tRNA from 1 species